GAGUUUGAUCGUGGCUCAGAUUGAACGCUGGCGGCAUGCCUUACACAUGCAAGUCGAACGGCAGCACGGGCUUCGGCCUGGUGGCGAGUGGCGAACGGGUGAGUAAUACAUCGGAACGUGCCCUGUUGUGGGGGAUAACCAGUCGAAAGAUUGGCUAAUACCGCAUACGACCUGAGGGUGAAAGCGGGGGACCGCAAGGCCUCGCGCAGCAGGAGCGGCCGAUGUCUGAUUAGCUAGUUGGUGGGUAAAGGCCCACCAAGGCGACGAUCAGUAGCUGGUCUGAGAGGACGACCAGCCACACUGGAACUGAGACACGGUCCAGACUCCUACGGGAGGCAGCAGUGGGGAAUUUUGGACAAUGGGCGCAAGCCUGAUCCAGCAAUGCCGCGUGAGUGAAGAAGGCCUUCGGUU
rnacentral:rRNA from 1 species